AUUGAACGCUGGCGGCAGGCCUAACACAUGCAAGUCGAACGAGUGGCGGACGGGUGAGUAAUGUCUGGGAAACUGCCUGAUGGAGGGGGAUAACUACUGGAAACGGUAGCUAAUACCGCAUACCAUCAGAUGUGCCCAGAUGGGCUUAGCUUGUUGGUGGGGUAACGGGUCACCAGGGCGACGAUCCCUAGCUGGUCUGAGAGGAUGACAGGCUGAACUGUAACUGUGGGACGGUCCAGCCUCCUACGGUAGGCAGCAGUGGGGAAUAUGGCACAAUGGGAGCAAGCCUGAUGCAGCCAUGCCGCGUGUAUGAAGAAGGCAUUCGGGUUGUAAAGUACUUUCAGCGGGGAGGCGUUAGCCGCAGAAGAAGCACCGGCUAACUCCGUGCCAGCAGCCGCGGUAAUUC
rnacentral:rRNA from 1 species